rnacentral:lncRNA from 1 species
GGAUUACAGGCAUGAACCACUGCGCCAGACCUUGAUUUUAAUAAUAGACAACAUGAGAUAUAUUAUAUAUCAUUGUGAGGGGAGGGCACCAGGGAUGGUAAAGCUUCCAGUUGAAGAAUAUGUAACACUCAUCUCUGUCUCUCAAAAACAGAAAUACUCACAUUUGUAUUCUUACACCUAAGGGUAAAAGGUAGCCAGGGCAUGGGAACUAUUUAGCAAAAAUAAAAAGUAAAUGUAAAGAUAGACAGACAAACAGGCAAAACAUAUUUAGAGCUAAACAUGUUAUACACACGAAAGGAGGUUUGUAGCCUCACAUGUUCUUUCUGGCAUCCUAUUCCAGAAGUUUCGAACCUGAGUUUAGGGGAAGGUUUUAUUUUAUUUAUUUAUUUAUUUUUUAAGAUGGAGUUUUGUUCUUGUUGCCCAUGCUGGAGUGCAAUGGUGCAAUCUUGGCUCAUUGCAACCUCCACCUCCCGGGUUCAAGCAAUUCUCCUGCCUCGCCUCUCAAGUAGCUGGGAUUACAGGUUCCUGCCACCACGCCUGGCUAAUUUUUUGCAUUUUUAGUAGAGACAAGGUUUCACCAUGUUGGCCAGGCUGGUCUUGAACUCCUGACCUCAGGUGAUCCACCUGCCUCGGCUUCCCAAAGUGCUAGGAUUACAGGCAUGAGCCACUACGCCCGGCCUAGAGGAAGAUUUUAGAUUAUCACGACAAACAAGUGAACAGCAUCUUAAUAGUCAAUCCCAUGAAACUAGAGCAUUAAAUAAUCACCCUUCUAAAUAUGGAAAGGUUUUCCUGUGCAGGAAUUCUGAAGUUAUUUGUAUUUUUUUAGAGACAGGAUCUCACUCUGUGUCCCAGGCUAGAGUACAGCAGAGCAAUCAUAGUUCACUGCAGCCUCAAACUCCUGGGCUCAAGCAAUCCUCCCACCUCAGUAUUCAAGUAGGUGGGACUACAGGCACGAGCCACCAUGUCUGGGUAAUUUUUAUUUAUUGUUUUUGUAGAGAUGAGGUCUCCCUAUGUUGUCCAGGCUGGAUUCGAAUUCCCGGCCUCGAGUGAUCCUCCCACCUUGGCCAUCCAGAGUGCUAGAUUAUAGGUGUGAACCACUGCACUCAGCCAGAGUUCUGAAUUUAACAUCAGUCCUCUUCCUCUCUGCUCAAUUCUGCACCCAUUCACGGCUCUGCCCUCACGCUGUCAUACUCAGUUUUACCAUUUCUGCCAAACAUUUUCUUCCAUUUCCUUUUUGGAUUCUCCUUUUUUUUUUUUUAAACGAAAAAUUGGUUAUAUCCAGCCUUAACAUCUUCCCUAAACUUUUCCAAUUUCUCAUCUUGCUUUAGAAAUCCCUGUUCUAGGUUUACUUCUUUCUAUAGUUUUUUUGGAGUGACUAGAAAUUCCUUAAAAUAAUGAGGUAUGGCCUGGCGCAGUGGCUCACAUCUGUAAUCCCAGAAUUUUUGGAGGCCAAAGCAGGCUGACUGCUUGAGGCCAGGAGUUCAAGACCAGCCUGGGCAACAUGGUAAAAACCCACUUCUACUAAAAAUACAAAAAUUAGCAAGGUGAGGUGGUAAGCACCUGUAGUCCCAGCUACUUUGGGGGCUGAGGUGGGAGGAUCACUUGAGCCUGGGAGGCAAAGGUUGCAGUGAGCUGAGAUUGUGCCGCUGCACUCCAGCCUGGGUGACAGAGCAAGACUCUGUCUCAAAAGAAAAAAAAAACUUAUGAGGUAUGGACAAUUCAGUAAUAAGAUUUGAGUCUCAUAGUCUGCACGACCUCUUUUUCUAUGUUUUCAUUCCUCUUGGAUUUGUCUAUUUUCCUGGCUCAGUUGGCAAGCGCCUGGCCUGAGCAAAAUUCCUAAUCUCAGAUAUGGCCAUGAGCGUAUUUCUGGAUGAGGGCCAUCUCAUUAUGAUGAGAAAGGAAAGGACUGUCCAAAUCCAAUGCUACUGCUUCAGGGAAGAGGACCCUUGGGGUAAAACCAAUGUUGGAUGAAAAAUACUUAAGAACCUCACACAAAGGCUUUUUAGAGAUUACCAUCCAAAAUACACACAAUGGAGAAGCUCUAUCAACUGAAAGGUCUGAACAAGAGUAAGGAAACCACACAUGAAGAGUAAAAAAUACAAAAGAAAAAACUUGUGUAAGACCAAGAUCUAUAAGAGAGAGAAUGAUCCAUUAUUGAGUCAAAGAUCAAUAUGUAGCUGGUUCAAGUACAAAGGUAACUUUUUUUCCACUUCUAAUUUUCAUAAUUUACAUAUUUAAUCAGAGCUAUCCAAAUAUCACCCAUUACAAACCAACGCUUAACGUGGAGCUUGUUUCAGAAUAUGUGUGUUAGGUAGUACUUACAUUGUUUACAAGGCUUGGUCAUUCAGAACAAAAAUGUAAUUUCAAGGUAAUAAGUAUGAUGUUGCAGUUCUAUAAUCUAACUGGGUAUAUUCAUAAAUGUGAGUCAGAAAGUCACACUUAGUUUAAGGUAACUAACUUCUGAUGGAAUUCUUGCUGGUAGAUGGUGAAUGUGGGUCUUAAUGAGCUCUCCUAUGAAAGGGGCACUUACCAUGGACAGGAAGAUAUGAAAAAGCAUGCUGGCUCUGUGAGUGCCCCUCAAGGCAGCCUUUGCAUUUGUACCAAAAUUCAAAGGACGGAAAUGUUCAGUCAGAAGUUCUCUUACCUACCUCACUCCAGCUAGGGAACCAAGGCCAUCUAUCUCUUUUCCCACAAUGCCAUGGACAAAUGGAAUAGAAACAAAUCAGCAAAGGUAGCUGCCACAUCUUGCCCAAUGAUGUGUCCUAGAGGCUCUGAGAUUCACUUGAAUGAAGUCACCAGCAGUGAAAUUCACAGUUAAUGGGAAGAUGCAAAAUGCUCAGGAGACAUUAGAAAGCUAGCCCCAUAGACCCUGAAGGUGAAGACCAAAAGCUUCCCCAGUGGUAAGAUAUAGGAGAGAAGGGGCAUUCCCUGGCCCUAAACUUACUAAUGUCCUCCUGUGGAACCAUUCCUUUAGUAACUAUUAAUAAAAAACUGUUAAUAUGUGCCAGGCAUUUUAUAGGUGCUAAGAAUGUAGAUAUGAACAAAGCAGACAUGGUCUCCACUUUUAAGGAACUUAAUGCCUAAUGGAAAAACUUAAGUUAUAAAUAACUUAAAAUUAUAAAUUGUGACAGGUGCUAUGAAGGAAUAACAGGGGAGGCCAACUCUAGCUUGGCUGGAAAGGGUCACUUAACCAGCCAG